rnacentral:tRNA from 1 species
GGAUUGUGGCUCAGCGGAAGAGCGAUCGCCUAGUGCGUGCUAGGCCCUGGGUUUGAUCCUCUGCACCA